rnacentral:rRNA from 1 species
GACGAACGCUGGCGGCGUGCCUAAUACAUGCAAGUCGAACGCUUCUUUUUCCACCGGAGCUUGCUCCACCGGAACAAGAGGAGUAGCGAACGGGUGAGUAACACGUGGGUAACCUGCCCAUCAGAAGGGGAUAACACUUGGAAACAGGUGCUAAUACCGUAUAACAAUCGAAACCGCCUGGCUUUGAUUUGAAAGGCGCUUUCGGGCGUCCAUGAUGGAUGGACCCGCGGUGCAUUAGCUGGUUGGUGAGGGAACGGCUCACCAAGGCCACGAUGCAUAGCCGACCUGAGAGGGUGAUCGGCCACAUUGGGACUGAGACACGGCCCAAACUCCUACGGGAGGCAGCAGUAGGGAAUCUUCGGCAAUGGACGAAAGUCUGACCGAGCAACGCCGCGUGAGUGAAGAAGGUUUUCGGAUCGUAAAACUCUGUUGUUAGAGAAGAACAAGGAUGAGAGUAACUGUUCAUCCCUUGACGGUAUCUAACCAGAAAGCCACGGCUAACUACGUGCCAGCCGCCGCAGUAA